UUAUUUGCAAUUAUGUCAAACAUCAGUGGGAUCCUCAUCACCCCUUGGACACAUUAGUUACAAGAGACAAAGGCAAAGCAACCAGCUGUCAUUCAUUUUCAGUCAGAGUGGGUGUUUUACAGCUACAAGAGACAAGCGGUCACUACACCACCAUCUAGCCAUGGCCAAAAA